GUUUGUGGGCAUACGGAUGGCAAUAUUUAAAUCAAAGUGGAGGGACUUGCGGCUUUGCUGUACGGUGACUGGAGUACAUUGAAUCAGGAAGGGGAGCUCCCAACACACCAGUCAAGAAGGUGGGGAACUCUGGAUUUCAAAUGACUCUGGAUAUAUUCUGCCUGCAAGACAACUGCAGGAUUGAACCCUGUUGUAACAAUUGGACCUACAAAUUUAUCCGAAUUAUGAGUUCAACUGUAAAAAGCUUCCUCUAUUAUGGCACCAGAAAUGGGCACACCUUUCCAGGGCCUCUUCAUACAGGGGAGACAAAAUCUGGGCUUUAAUCCUGUCCAUCCUACAAUGGCCUAACCCC